UCAUUCACCCAGGCUUGAGGCUUGAGUGCAGUGGCAUGAUCUCAGCUUACUGCAGCCUCAACCUCCUGGACUCAGGUGAGAGGAACUACAGGUACAUGCCACCAUGCCUGGCUAGUUUUCAUAUUUUCUGUAGAGACAGGGUUUCACCAUGUUGCCCAGCCUGAUCUUCAACUCCUGCCUGCCUCGGCCUCCCAAAGUGCUAAGAUUACAGGUGUGAGCCGCCAUGCCUGGCCUGGAGGAUAUUUCUGAAACGGGUCACUUACACAGCCAUUGGCAGGCCUUGGUUCCUUACUUGGUGGGCUUCCCUGUAAGGCUGCUUGAGUGUUCUCUUGACAUGACAGCUGGCUUCCUCCAGAGUGAGUAAUUUGAGAAGAGGCAAGGUGGGGGGCCAUAAUGCCUUUUAUGACCUAGUCUUAGAAAAUGACAACACUUUCAUCUCCACAAUGUCCUACUGGCUACACAGGUAAAACCCUAUUCAAUGCAGGAAGGGACAAGAAAGUUGUGAAUACCAGGAGAUAAGAAUCACUGGGGGCCAUUUUGGAGCCUAGCUGACACAA
rnacentral:lncRNA from 1 species